AACUUAUUAUAAGAGACCCUUCAACACGAGGACUUCCAAACUGAAUUUCGAGGACUUGUCGUUUUGCAGUAUAAACAAUGUGAGGAAUGAGUUUGAAGUUGAUGCACUUACACUGGAAAAAAAGAGUGUCGAAAAAACUCUAUACCCUUAUAUAGUGCAUUUUGUAAUGGUUUCCAAAAACAUAGUGGACAUUAUCGAGUGCACUCAUUCAAUCCCACAAUGCACCUCGUCUUGCCAGAAGAUGGUGCCAUUCACAGCACUUCCACUGCACUCUAGCUGCAUUCCAAAUGCAGUAUGUACUCAACCGUGUAAUGUAUAGAUUAUAUACAGUACAAUUGUUUUGUGGUUCAUAAUCUUAGUCUGAUUAACAUUCCAUUCUUUGUUUUUUUCCGGUUAAGUGCAUCAUCCAGGGUUUUAAUGUGCUUUUUCUUUUUGGAAUUUUCAGUGUGAUCAUACUAAUCAUACAAGAUAACGUCAUAGAAUAGUGCACAAGUACACAAUUUGGGACGCACCUUCACAGUGUCCGAAUUCACUCACUUGUAUGUAUUCACGCAUUCCGAAAGAAAAACUAAAAAAGUGAAAGUCGUGACAUUUGCCAAGUAUGGUAACCCAUACUCUAAAUUGGUGCACUGCAUUUAACCCAUCCAAGUGCACACACACAGCAGUGAGAAGUGAACACACACCCGGAGCAGUGGGCAGCUAUAGAUGCAGUACCCAGGGAGCAACUGGGGGUUCAGUGCCUUGCUCAAGGGCACUUCAGCCAAGGGGUAUUAAAGGUGGAAGAGAGCGCUGUUCCCCCCAUCUACAACACCUGACAGCACAGAGACUCGAACCUGCAACCUUCAGGUAACUGGAGUGAGAUGACCACAAAUAUAAACAGAAACAUCUGCAGAGUGUAAUGAAAAGGCAAUUUUCCAUUGGCUGUUUUUUUCAUUUCAAGUUCAUGUUGAGAUAUAAUGCACAAUAUUCAUAAUAAAAAAUGAAAAGUGCAUUGUUGUCCUUAAUCAUUUCCUGGUAAACUAAUAUCAUAUUGUGGAAGGAUCUCCAAAUGUUGCUCUUCAACCAGAGGGAUUCAUUCGAGCACCUCACCCCACACAUAUACCCUUCCUCCACAACACUGAGCCCGACUGGAUCGAAACCGCAUCCUCCUGCGCAUGCGCAGUCUGUCCUAUAAAACCAACCACUAGCAGUUGAAGAGCUAUGCUGCAACGCAGAAUGAAGAGACACGGCAAGACAAAGCAGAAAACUGCGAUGUGACGCGCCGACCAUCGAAUUUGUACAGUUGAAAGGAAAACGACACUAAAGAGUAAAACCGAGCUGUUGUAUCGCACAGGAUUGCAUACGCCAGUCAAACCAUCUUCAGGUUUUAAUUCUCGGGACGAUGAGACUAUAGAUGGAUAUUAAGACGGGCUACAUCACAACCGUUCCUGGAGCCUAGGGUAUUAUUUAAGUGUCGAUACCGUGCAAACUUGUUUAUGCUUUCAAAAUGGCGAUUUUCUCCGCUCGUCCCCCUCCCUGGCCUUCUUGAAUAGAAUGAACGACACUGCCCUUGACCAAUAAUACGCGUAUGGUUCUGUUUCCUCGGCGCCGAUUGGCUAAAGAUGACAUCAUCCGUAUUGUGGGCGGGCUCUGAGCUGCGAGGGGAGAGCGGCGCACCCGGAGAUACGACUGCAUUUGGGGACGACAGUAGGGCGCCAUUAACUCCUAAUCUCAUUAACGAACUGAAUUACACGAAUUAGCGUUUAAGAAGAGCCCUUAAGCGGAGCUGGUUGAUAUACAAAAUUAAUUCAAGGCGUCAUUACUCCUCGCGGCACUGCACAAAUCGCGCCAGAAAACAUUGCUGCCGAAAACCGGAUUCAGCUCCUUGAGAGUACGUCACCAGUCGUGUGUAUUAAAACGCUAAUGACUAAAAACCUUAAUGUGCUUUAAUCGCCUCAAACACAGCGGGGAUAUCUGGAAGUAGUGUUUUUGGACGCUGGGUGGUUCGUUUCAAAGAACCGAAUAUAACGAUUCUUUUCUUUCUUUUGCGUCAUGACGUAAUUACGUGCCCCUUUAACAACAUGAUGUGACAAAUUACGAGUUUAUAGUGAUUAAGUAGUUUCUUGCAGUCAUCAAGUAAAUUAUAUUUAAGUCAACUCCGUUGCAUAUGCGUGUUAAUAAAUCUACCAUGCAACUAAGAGUCCUGAAACCAGUACAUAAACCAUCUUUAAUCUAGAACUGCUAGGGAUUAAUCGUUGAAAAGAUCUAAAGACAGUUCGUCUAUGAUUUGAAAAUCAACGUUGGUUGGCAGUGCAUUUGAAAUUCCAUAUCUUGUGUGUUUUGGGAAUUCUUAAAGGUCAAGCUGCAAUUUACGAGAGAAGUCAGAACAUUGUUUAUUACGUCACAAUAACAGAGCUGCAACAAAAGCGCUCGGCUGAGGACGCGCGCAUUUCCUGUGUCUCUGCUGCCUGAUCAGGAAACGAAUCGUGUGCAGAAAACGUCCUGGCUGAAUGAGGUCUCACGUCGUCGUUGUUGUCGUGCCAUAGUGCUCUCAUAACUAAUCUGUUCCGCGCGCUCGUUAAAAUGGAUGUUAGGUAACGCCGUGGCUUUGAGCUGCAUGACCCGCUCGCCUUCUCCAUUGAUUGUGUUCCCACAGCCGCCAUGUUGUCGAUCCCACGCCUCCUCUGCGCUGCUCUGGGGAUGAGAAUUAGGAAAUGGCAUAUUGGCCGGAGCUUUUUUUCUCUUCUUCUUUUUUUUUUCUGUAGAGCGCACUGCUUAGUGAGUUACAGUUGUUGUUGUUUUUUUACUCCGGUUCCAUUAAUAAAGUCCCUUAAACUCAAUAUUCCACGCAGGUUCGUUAAUAAUAAUAUUUUAACGCGUUAGUAUCCUAUUUUUGUCCAUUACAUGAUCUACGAAAUUGUCUUCUUCCUCCAAGUGCAUAGUACAUUGACAAAAUUGUGAGAUGUUACAGCUUUAAAAUGAAAUAUCAUUAUUAAAAUGGUUAGUUAAGUGCAGUGGUUUGUUAUCAAGUGGCUGAAAUAAACGGAUAUCAACUAUAAAA